GACGACAGCAACCAGCCGAGUGCAGAGGCAAAAGAGGAGCUCACAUCCUGCUCUUCUUGACGGGGCCGAGCUCCUUGGCCUUGGUCCUCAGCUCGUGCUUCUUGAUCUUCCCCGUCGCCGUCUUGGGCAGCGGCCCGAACACCACCGACUUGGGCACCCAGUACCCCGGCAUCCUCUCCCUGCAGAACCGCAUGAUGUCGCCGGCCACCGCCGCCUCGUCGGAGCUGUCGGCGCCUUCCUUGAGCGUCACGAACGCGCACGGCGACUCCCCCCACUGCUCGUCCG
rnacentral:misc_RNA from 1 species